UACAGAGGUCUCAACCGUUGUUCGGAUUUAUUGGGCGUAAAGGGUGCGUAGGCGGGUCUUUUAAGUCAGGGGUGAAAUCUUUCAGCUCAACUGGAAAAGUGCCUCUGAUACUGAUCGUCUCGAGGGAGGUAGGGGCAUGUGGAACUUCCGGUGGAGCGGUGAAAUGCGUAGAUAUCGGAAGGAACGCCGGUGGCGAAAGCGACGUGCUGGACCUCUUCUGACGCUGAGGCGCGAAAGCUAGGGGAGCAAACGGG
rnacentral:rRNA from 1 species